CCUAAAGUCCUUUAACGC
rnacentral:tRNA from 1 species